rnacentral:siRNA from 1 species
UAAGCUUUCAUACUUGUGCCUG